rnacentral:rRNA from 1 species
UACGGGGGGGGGCAAGCGUUGUUCGGAAUUACUGGGCGUAAAGGGCUCGUAGGCGGCCAACUAAGUCGGACGUGAAAUCCCUCGGCUUAACCGGGGAACUGCGUCCGAUACUGGAUGGCUUGAGUUUGGGAGAGGGAUGCGGAAUUCCAGGUGUAGCGGUGAAAUGCGUAGAUAUCUGGAGGAACACCGGUGGCGAAGGCGGCAUCCUGGACCAACACUGACGCUGAGGAGCGAAAGCCAGGGGAGCCAAACGGG